rnacentral:rRNA from 1 species
UCCGGUGGUUAUUGCGCGAGGGCCACACCCGAUCCCAUCCCGAACUCGGAAGUUAAGCCUCGCUGCGCCGAUGGUACUGUACGGCACGCCGUGUGGGAGAGUAGGUCGCUGCCGGGA